UACGUAGGGCGCAAGCGUUAUCCGGAAUUAUUGGGCGUAAAGAGCUCGUAGGCGGUCUGUCGCGUCUGCUGUGAAAAUCCAGGGCUCAACCCUGGACCUGCAGUGGGUACGGGCAGACUAGAGUGCGGUAGGGGAGAUCGGAAUUCCUGGUGUAGCGGCGAAAUGCGCAGAUAUCAGGACGAACACCGGUGGCGAAGGCGGAUCUCUGGGCCGUAACUGACGCUGAGGAGCGAAAGCAUGGGGAGCGAACAGG
rnacentral:rRNA from 1 species